rnacentral:lncRNA from 1 species
CGCAGUUUCACAAACAGCAGCGGCCCCAGCUGGCUGGCUGGUUGGCAACUGGAGGCCUUUCUGUCCUGGCUGAGGGCCCUGGCCCCAUGGUGGCCUUUGGGAAGCAGCAUCUCAUCGGGCCGUUUUUUCGUUCUGGCGGGCGGCCGGCUUGGCCCGCGGGGUCGGGCUCCCCGCGCAGUGCAGAGACGUCUCCACCCUCAGGGACGAGGCUCUGACGUGGCGGGAGGUCGUUUCCGUGCGCUGCGAGGAGGAUUCCACGUGCCGGGAGGACGCCUCGAGGAUGCCAGGGAGCCGCUUCCCCGAGGGGGAGAGGGAGGGCCCCUCGCUGCGGCGCUGGGAGGUCUCCACCCGUCGGGACGACGUCUCCACGCGGUGGGACGAGGUCUCUACGCGGACCGUGGACGUCUCUGUGUAGCGGGUGGUCCCCACCCGGGGCGAAGACUGCUUGGCCCCUCGGGCUGAGGCCAUUCUGCCGGCGUGAGGGGGCCAGGGAGGCCUCGGGGCACCCUACAGCCCAACGGUCACCGCAGGCAGAAGAGAGGAAAACUACGGUACUGCCAUAGCCGGGAGC